ACUCAGGCACGACCCGCGCACGUAACGCGCGAGACCGACCUGAUGUACACGUACCUAAGGGA
rfam:Corynebacterium jeikeium K411 complete genome